rnacentral:lncRNA from 1 species
AACAGCUUCAGAGCCUGUAGUGUCCAACAUUCUACCCUCAACUCAAAGGUAUAUGCAUAGGCACAAGGUUAUUAGCUUAAAACCUGAAGAAUCUGCAUACUUAGCACCUGAAAUUUCUCCAAGGAGCCAAAGUUAAGCAUAUCUAUGUGCUAUUGAGAGAUACAAAGAAAUAGACAUUUUAGACCCUUGGGCCCAAAUCUAGUAUACUUCAUCUUUAAGGAAAAAACUUCGAUAACCCUAAGAAAGGGGCAAGGGAAUGGUUUAAGUCCUUACUUGGUCAUACAGUUGUUGACUGAAAUAGUGAUCAGCUCACGGGCAAAAUCCUUUCUAUACACGGUUGCUACCUGAACAGUGUGGUCAGAGAUUUAGUAACAUAUCAAUUACGUUUCAGAAAAAUCACAUCAAGACAAAGAACUCUCCCCCCCUCUGUGUUCCUUUGUUUAACUAGAUCAUAUAAUUUCCAGAAAACAAAGAACUUUUGACUUUGCUCAUCAGGCUCUUAUGGUAUCACUCAGGCAACAUCCCUUGGGGAUGGAAAGUAUAUGAUAUAAUGUCUUUUAGCAAAAUUGUCGCAAAAUUUACCUCGUGUAAUAUACUACUUUGGGGCAUUUAAAGAAGUCUAUUCUUGUUCUUUCUCUGCCAUUUUCAAAUUGUGAUAAAUGUAAACAACACUCAUUUCUUGUUUUCAUCUUUUGAGUUCCACAGACCUUUCUCACUGAGCAAGACUGUUAUUGCAGACAUGGGCCUGGGCUUGUUAUUUAGUCAUGACUAAGUUUUAAAUCAUCAUACACUGGAGCCAGUGAACUUUGGCUUUGUGUACAUAGAAAGAAGGAGAGAAGAAAAGAAAAAAGAAGGAAAGGAAGGAAAAAAGAGAAAGAAAC